rnacentral:tRNA from 1 species
CCUCCUUACCAUUACGUCGAUAGACGCACUUGAUGCAGUGCCUACACAGAUAGUCUUGUUUAAAAAUGAAGAACGACACAAGUUUAUGGGGCUAUAGCUCAGCUGGGAGAGCGCCUGAUUUGCAUUCAGGAGGUCAGCAGUUCGAUCCUGCUUAGCUCCACCAUCUACUUGACACUGAGCUUGCAUAAGCGAAGUUUACUGAAGGCUUGUAGCUCAGCUGGUUAGAGCGCACCCCUGAUAAGGGUGAGGUCGGCAGUUCAAGUCUGGCCCAAGCCUACCAUUUCCUUGCUUUAAGAAAGGGAAGGUAACAAAGGUGGAAAACGUGUCACGUUUGGACCCCGAAAUCCUAAUGAAUAUUUUACUGGUUUCAGUAAAGCAUUGAUUAAGGGUUUUUUUACCCUGAAGGGAGCAUUUUACCAAUACUUUUAA